UCUUCUCUUUCAUCUCUUUCCACUCUUUCAAUUUUCACUACCACAAAAUGUAGAAAAUGCAACACAUAAUACACAACGCUCAAGUUAGAUAGGCGAUCUCUAGCAUUCUAUAGAGCGCCUACCUAAGAUGAGAGCUUUUUAUGUUAAGACCUAUAGAGUGCCUGUCAUGUUAACCAUUCUAUAAAUUUAAUAUAAAAAAUAUGACUUUAGAUAUAGAUCGCCUUACUUAGAUGACCGAUCUAUAAGAUUUUAGCAUAAUUAAAAAAAAAGUAAAAAAAAUCUUACCUUAUGAAAUACUCCGUAAAAACCUACUCCUCAACCUACACGCCGCUCUCCCGUCUCCUAUUCUUUCUCUCUCUUCUUUCUCUCCUCUCAUCACCAUUCCUCAUUCUCACCUUUCAUCUCAUCUUCUCAAAGUAAAAAAUUAAAACCUUACCUUAUGAAACAAAAAUCAUAAUUAGGCAAGUAAAUUUGUUUUUCGGUUUUACAAUAAAGAUCAACGCAUGGUCAUUUGUAUCAUUUUCCUCAAAUUUUCAAAAAUUAAAUUCGAUUUCAUUCAAUCUAGAUCUGAGAAUUUUAGUUCGAAGAAAUGUUGAGGGUUUAGAGCCGAAAAAUGAAUUCAAUCGAUUGCAUUCAAGUAGUUUCAACGAACCGGUAAUGCUCCAAUGCAACACUGCCGUAGAUCUAGCCGGAUAAACCGUCGUCGUUUGAUUUGGAUGCGUUGUAAUGAAGUGUUGCUGCUGUGAAAUGGAUUAUAAAUUCCAAAGAUGCAUAAAGAUUUGAAAAGAGGACGAACAGUCACGCUCAAACUACUUAUCAUUUGUUAUAUGUUUUUUUUAUCUUAGAUUCAUGUUACUUUUACAAUGUACUCAGAUUUGUUUAUCAAUGAAAGUUAUAGCAAUAAACAAUACUUUGGGCUU